CAGUCGCCGCGGGAAUACGAAGGGGGCUAGCGUUGUUCGGAUUUACUGGGCGUAAAGGGCGCGUAGGCGGGCUGAUAAGUCGGGGGUGAAAUCCCAAGGCUCAACCUUGGAACUGCCUUUGAUACUGUUGGUCUUGAGUCCGGGAGAGGUGAGUGGAACUGCGAGUGUAGAGGUGAAAUUCGUAGAUAUUCGCAAGAACACCAGUGGCGAAGGCGGCUCACUGGCCCGGAACUGACGCUGAGGCGCGAAAGCGUGGGGAGCAAACAGGAUUAGAUACCCGAGUAGUCCCUGUCUCUUAUAC
rnacentral:rRNA from 1 species